rnacentral:rRNA from 1 species
UACGUAGGGGGCAAGCGUUGUCCGGAUUUAUUGGGCGUAAAGAGCGUGUAGGCGGUUAGGUAGGUCCGUUGUGAAAACUCGAGGCUCAACCUCGAGACGCCGAUGGAAACCCCCUAACUAGAGUCCGGAAGAGGAGAGUGGAAUUCCUGGUGUAGCGGUGAAAUGCGUAGAUAUCAAGAGGAACACCAGUGGCGAAGGCGAGUCCCUGGACAACACCUGACACUGAGGCACGAAAGCUAGGGGAGCAAACAGG